UUUUGAGGGGCUGUCUUGGUUUUGAAUAAAUAGCUUUGGUCGUUACGUGGAAAUCGGCCAAUAUGCAGGUCGGGAGCCAUCUCGUUAGGCGUCUGGACUCUUAAAGCGGAGGGGUUACUGGAUAGUGUUGUUGUAUAGUUUUGUUGUACAGUGAU